rnacentral:rRNA from 1 species
CUAACGAGGAUUUCCUUAGUAACGGCGAGUGAAAAGGAAAAAGCCCAGCGCUGAAUCCAAUAGACAUCUUGGCUAUAUGGAAAUGUAGCGUAUAGGUGUAACUAUCCGUAACAUAUUUUUGCACCCAAAGUCCCCUUGAGCGGGGCUACAGUCCAUAGAAGGUGCUAGACCUGUACGGGUGAAAAAAGUUACGGUAGGUUAUUCUUUGGAGUCGGGUUGUUUGAGAUUGCAGCCCAAAGAGGGUGGUAAACCUCAUCUAAGGCUAAAUACGACCACGAGACCGAUAGCAAACAAGUACCGUGAGGGAAAGUUGCAAAGAACUUUGAAGAGAGAGUUCAAGAGGGCGUGAAACCGCUGAGAUGGAAACGGAUAGAGUUAACGAAACUUAUCGGUAUUCAACCAAUCAAUUUAGCAAUCUUAAUUAUKAUUUAUCAUUUAUUAAUUGAUUUAUUAUUAUUUAAUGAAUAAAAUGAUGAUUAAGAAAUGAAUGCUAAAUUUGUAUSGAUAAUGAUUGGUGUAUUUACCGAUGGUAUGCAUCGAGAGCUUCAUUUUAGCAUAUUAAUAUAGUUUAUUUAGUGGACCAAUUAUUACAUUUGAUAAUUGGAAUCCUAAAUCUAUUGAAAUAUGUCUUAGAUGAAGUUUUAAUCCCAUAUGUGUAACUUUCACUUGAAAUAAUAGUGACAUGCAUCGAUUAUAAUUUKUUUUGCUAAUUACAUUUACAUGUAGUCGCAUGCGACUWUUAACGGUAAAUGGUUUAGAUUAAUUGGUAAAGUUAUAAUAUUGUAUGCAUAAUNUGAAAAGUUACAUCUCGAUGUGAACGUUAAUCACCUAUCUGACCCGUCUUGAAACACGGACCAAGGAGU